AUUGAACGCUGGCGGCAUGCUUUACACAUGCAAGUCGAACGGAAACAGGGAGCUUGCUCCGCUGACGAGUGGCGAACGGGUGAGUAAUGCGUCGGAACGUGCCGAGUAGUGGGGGAUAACGCAGCGAAAGUUGUGCUAAUACCGCAUACGUACUGAGGUAGAAAGUGGGGGACCUUCGGGCCUCACGCUAUUCGAGCGGCCGACGUCUGAUUAGCUAGUAGGUGAGGUAAAGGCUCACCUAGGCGACGAUCAGUAGCGGGUCUGAGAGGAUGAUCCGCCACAGUGGGACUGAGACACGGCCCAGACUCCUACGGGAGGCAGCAGUGGGGAAUUUUGGACAAUGGGCGAAAGCCUGAUCCAGCCAUGCCGCGUGUCUGAAGAAGGCCUUCGGGUUGUAAAGGACUUUUGUCGGGGAGGAAAUCCCCAGCGCUAAUACCGCUGGGGGAUGACAGUACCUGAAGAAUAAGCACCAGCUAACUACGUGCCAGCCGCCGCAGUAACAC
rnacentral:rRNA from 1 species